GCACAGUACCUUAUAUAGUCCUUACUGCA
rnacentral:sRNA from 1 species